rnacentral:rRNA from 1 species
AACGAACGCUGGCGGCAUGCCUAACACAUGCAAGUCGAACGAGACCUUCGGGUCUAGUGGCGCACGGGUGCGUAACGCGUGGGAACCUGCCCUUAGGUUCGGAAUAACUCCCCGAAAGGGGUGCUAAUACCGGAUAAUGUCUUCGGACCAAAGAUUUAUCGCCUUUGGAUGGGCCCGCGUUGGAUUAGCUAGUUGGUAGGGUAAAAGCCUACCAAGGCCACGAUCCACAGCUGGUCUGAGAGGAUGAUCAGCCACACUGGGACUGGGACACGGCCCAGACGCCUGCGGGCGGCGGGAGGGGGGAAAAUUGGGCAAGGGGCGAAAGCCAGAAACGGCAAGGCCGGGGGAGUGAUGAAGGGGUUGGGGUUGGAAAGCGCUUUUCCCGGGGAGGGAAAGAACGGAACGGGGAAAAAAGGCCCCGGCAAACCCCGG